AUUGAACGCUAGCGGCAUGCCUUACACAUGCAAGUCGAACGGCAGCGGGGCUUCCGGUCCGGCGGCGUGUCGAGCACGGGAGUGUAACGUAUCAACACGUCCCCACUAGGGGGGUAUCACGACGAGAAAUCGUCUAUAAUCCCACACACGCCCCACAGGGGAACGGAGGAGAUCCUGACCCCUCGCGCUCUUGGCGCGCCCGAUAACGGAUUAGCUAGUUGGUGAGGUAACGGCUCACCAAGGCGACGAUCCGUAGCUGGUCUGAGAGGACGAUCAGCCACACUGGGACUGAGACACGGCCCAGACUCCUACGGGAGGCAGCAGUGGGGAAUUUUGGACAAUGGGCGCAAGCCUGAUCCAGCCAUGCCGCGUGUAGGAUGAAGGCCUUCGGGUUGUAAAGUGCUUUUGUACGGAAAGAAAAGCCGCGUGCUAAUAACGCGGGGUAAUGACGGUACCGGAAGAAUAAGCACCGGCUAACUACGUG
rnacentral:rRNA from 1 species